UUAGAAGUCGAGCGGAUGAAGGGAGCUUGCUCCUGGAUUCAGCGGCGGACGGGUGAGUAAUGCCUAGGAAUCUGCCUGGUAGUGGGGGAUAACGUCCGGAAACGGGCGCUAAUACCGCAGACGUCCUGAGGGAGAAAGUGGGGGAUCUUCGGACCCCCCUAUAGAGGGCCUAGGUGGAUUAGCUAUUGGGGGGGAAAGGCCCACCAAGGCGAGAUCCGAAACUGGUCUGAGAGGAUUCAUCACACGGAACUGAGACACGGUCCAGACUCCUACGGGAGGCACCAGUGGGGAAAUUGGACAAAGGGCGAAAGCCUGAUCCACCCAUGCCGCGGUGGGAAGAAGGUCUUCGGAUUGUAAAGCACUUUAAGUUGGGAGGAAGGGCAGUAAGUUAAUACCUUGCUGUUUUGACGUUACCAACAGAAUAAGCACCGGCUAACUUCGUGCCAGCAGCCGCGGUAAUACGAAGGGUGCAAGCGUUAAUCGGAAUUACUGGGCGUAAAGCGCGCGUAGGUGGUUCAGCAAGUUGGAUGUGAAAUCCCCGGGCUCAACCUGGGAACUGCAUCCAAAACUACUGAGCUAGAGUACGGUAGAGGGUGGUGGAAUUUCCUGUGUAGCGGUGAAAUGCGUAGAUAUAGGAAGGAACACCAGUGGCGAAGGCGACCACCUGGACUGAUACUGACACUGAGGUGCGAAAGCGUGGGGAGCAAACAGGAUUAGAUACCCUGGUAGUCCACGCCGUAAACGAUGUCGACUAGCCGUUGGGAUCCUUGAGAUCUUAGUGGCGCAGCUAACGCGAUAAGUCGACCGCCUGGGGAGUACGGCCGCAAGGUUAAAACUCAAAUGAAUUGACGGGGGCCCGCACAAGCGGUGGAGCAUGUGGUUUAAUUCGAAGCAACGCCAAGAACCUUACCUGGCCUUGACAUGCUGAGAACUUUCCAGAGAUGGAUUGGUGCCUUCGGGAACUCAGACACAGGUGCUGCAUGGCUGUCGUCACCUCGUGUCCUGAAAAGUUGGGUUAAUCCCCUAACGACCCCACCCUUGUCUUAGUUACCAACACCUCGGGUGGCCCUCUAGGAAACGGCCGGGAAAACCGAAGAAAGGGGGAUAACUCAAUCAUCUGGCCCUUACGGCAGGGUACACCGGGCUCAAUGGCGGAAAAGGUGCCAACCCAGGGAGAAUCCCAAAAACAUCUAUCCCCAACCCACCCCCCACCGCGCGGGAAGGGAAACGCGAGAAGGAAAAAAAAAUCCCCUAAAAAUU
rnacentral:rRNA from 1 species